rnacentral:rRNA from 1 species
UACGUAGGGUCCAAGCGUUAUCCGGAAUCACUGGGCGUAAAGCGCACGUAGGCGGACUCUUAAGUCGGGGGUGAAAUCCUGGAGCUCAACUCCAGAACUGCCUUCGAUACUGGGAGCCUUCGAGUUCGGGAGAGGUGAGUGGAACUGCGAGUGUAGAGGUGAAAUUCGUAGAUAUUCGCAAGAACACCAGUGGCGAAGGCGGCUCACUGGCCCGAUACUGACGCUGAGGUGCGAAAGCGUGGGGAGCAAACAGGG